rnacentral:rRNA from 1 species
AUACGGAGGAUCCGAGCGUUAUCCGGACUUAUUGGGUUUAAAGGUAGCGUAGGUGGCUUGUUAAGUCAGUUGUGAAAGUUUGCGGCUCAACCGUAAAAUUGCAGUUGAAACUGGCAGUCUUGAGUACAGUAGAGGUGGGCGGAAUUCGUGGUGUAGCGGUGAAAUGCUUAGAUAUCACGAAGAACUCCGAUUGCGAAGGCAGCUCAAUAGUCUGUUACUGACACUGAUGCUCGAAAGUGUAAGUAUCAAACGGGAUUCGAUACCUUCGUAGUCCACCCACUAGACGAUGAAUACUCGCUUUGUGGGAGAUACAGUAAGCGGCGUGGCGAAAGCAUCAAGUAUGCCACCUGGGCAGUAUCCCGGCAACAGUGAUAAGCAAGUGGAUUGACGGGG